GAAUGUUUAGUGUAAGCCCAUAUUUAACUUGUUUAUAUGAAAGCCCUUACCCAUUAAGUGUAGGCUUCUGCAUAAAACCCUAGCGUCUUUCAUUUCCUCCUCGUUCUUGUCACUUCUUCGCUUGUGUGCUCUCUUAAUCACGAAAAAUCAUGGAAUCAAAGCCAGAAGAACCUGUUGUUACUUACGUCUGCGGAGACUGUGGUCAAGAGAACACUUUGAAGCGUGGAGAUGUGUUCAAAUGCAAAGAGUGUGGGUUCCGUGUUCUCUACAAGAAGCGUAUCCGUCAAAGUCAAACACGGCGCAUACCGGCGAACUAAAUACUAAUCUUUAAUCCUUCCUUUUGAUUGUUGAUAAAAUUCUGUAAAACUAUAUGACUUCUCAACGAAGUUUUCUGAUCGGUGCUGUAAUCCCUGACUGUAGAUAUCUACUCUGAAGUAGUCUAUCUCUCUACUUUUGC